UACAGAGGGGGGCAAGCGUUGUUCGGAAUUACUGGGCGUAAAGGGCGCGUAGGCGGCCCGCUAAGUCGAACGUGAAAUCCCCGAGCUCAACUCGGGAACUGCGUCCGAUACUGGUGGGCUUGAAUCCGGGAGAGGGAUGCGGAAUUCCAGGUGUAGCGGUGAAAUGCGUAGAUAUCUGGAGGAACACCGGUGGCGAAGGCGGCAUCCUGGACCGGCAUUGACGCUGAGGCGCGAAAGCUAGGGGAGCAAACGGG
rnacentral:rRNA from 1 species